GCCAUCUAGUAAUUAAUACUUAGAUAUAAUUUAAAUUAAUUUGAAACUAACAAAGGGAAGUUACAGUUAAAGAAAAUCAGUAUUGAAGACUAAGAAAGACAAAAAAUCACUAUUGAUAUAUUCUUAAUGAUUGUGUCACAAUCACAAGCAUUCUACUAUGUAUCUUCCCCUUUGCACAUCUUUUUAUCCAUUAGAUGAAGCAUUUCACACACCUUUCUCUCAAAUAUUCUCCAAUUAUAGAUCUCUGUUUUCAUAUCCAUAUUUCUCUCCAGAAGAUUCGUCCUCAAAAUUAGUGAUGUGUAUCUAUCUAAAUUUCAUCAUUCCUGUGUUUACAAUCUCUCGCAGUUACUUGCCUCAUCAUUGUCAUUCACUUCAAUGCCAUUGUAACUACUAACCAAUCAUUUCACACCAUUUCCCUUCACACAAACUCAGCCAUUCAGAUCAUAUCAUAGUCAUUUAUUACUGUGGCAUUCAUUAUUCAUACCAUCCACAGCAGCAGUCUCAAAAUAAUUUUCUUCGAAGUGCCACUUUUAGUCAUCAUUGGUUGUUGGGGAACUGUAUUUAAAAUUAGCCUUAUAAUAAUAAUAAUAAUAAUAAUAGUGAUUUUUGUAUAAGGUAAAUUGUCC
rnacentral:lncRNA from 1 species